rnacentral:ncRNA from 1 species
AAUAAAUUUUUUAUAGUUUAAUUAAUUUAAUUUAAAUUUAUUUUACAUAUAAAUUUUAGUAUAUAUAUUUAUUUAUUUUAAUAAUAAUUAAUUUUUAUUUAUAGUAAUUAGUAUUAAAAAUUUAAGAAAUUAAGAUUUAGUAAUAUAAAAAUUAAUAACUAAAUUUGUGCCAGCAGUUGCGGUUAUACAAAUAUUAAAUUAAAUUUUAUUAGUAAUUAAUUAAUAAUAAUUUUAUUAAAUUAAAUUUUAAAUUAUUAAGUGAAAUUUUAAUUUAAUAAAAAUUUAAUUUUAUAUUUAUGAUUAUUUAAUAAAUUUAUAAAUAAACUAGGAUUAGAUACCCUAUUAUAUUAAAAUUAAAAUUUUAUACUAAAAUAGUAAUUAAUAUAUUUAUUGAAACUUAAAUAAUUUGGCGGUAUUUUAGUUCAUUUAGAGGAAUCUGUUUAAUAAUUGAUAUUCCACGAAUAAAUUUACUUAAUUUAUAAUUUUGUAUAUCGUUGUUAAAAAAAUAUUUUUAUAUGAUAAUAAUAUUUUAAUUUUUAUAUGUAAAAUUAAAUCAGAUCAAGAUGCAGUUUAUAAUUAAGAAUAAAUGGGUUACAAUAAAUUUAUUUAAUAAUGAAUAUUAUUUUGUAAUAAUAAUUGAAGGUGGAUUUAAAUGUAAUUUUAUUUAAUUUAUUAAAAUGAUUUUAAUUUAAAAUAUGUACAUAUUGCCCGUCGCUUUCAUUUAUAAAUUGAAAUAAGUCGUAACAAAGUAGAGGUACUGGAAAGUGUUUCUAGAAAGAU